ACCUGACUGCUAUCGGAUUGAUACUAAGCCAUGCGAGUCAUUGUAGCAAUACAAGGCAGACGGCUCAGUAACGCGUAGUCAACCUAACCUAUGGACGGGAAUAACCUCGGGAAACUGAGAAUAAUACCCGAUAGAACACUAUACCUGGAAUGGUUUGUGUUCCAAAUGAUUUAUCGCCGUAGGAUGGGACUGCGGCCUAUCAGUUUGUUGGUGAGGUAAUGGCCCACCAAGACUAUUACAGGUACGGGCUCUGAGAGGAGUGGCCCGGAGAUGGGUACUGAGACACGGACCCAGGCCCUAUGGGGCGCAGCAGGCGAGAAAACUUUGCAAUGUGCGAAAGCACGACAAGGUUAAUCCGAGUGGUUUGUGCUAAACAGACCUUUUGUUAGUCCUAGAAACACUAACGAAUAAGGGGUGGGCAAGUUCUGGUGUCAGCCGCCGCGGUAAAACCAGCACCUCAAGUGGUCAGGAUGAUUAUUGGGCCUAAAGCAUCCGUAGCCGGCUCUGUAAGUUUUCGGUUAAAUCUGUAUGCUCAACAUACAGGCUGCCGGGAAUACUGCAGAGCUAGGGAGUGGGAGAGGUAGACGGUACUCGGUAGGAAGGGGUAAAAUCCUUUGAUCUAUUGAUGACCACCUGUGGCGAAGGCGGUCUACCAGAACACGUCCGACGGUGAGGGAUGAAAGCUGGGGGAGCAAACCGGAUUAGAUACCCGGGUAGUCCCAGCUGUAAACUAUGCAAACUCAGUGAUGCAUUGGCUUGUGGCCAAUGCAGUGCUGCAGGGAAGCCGUUAAGUUUGCCGCCUGGGAAGUACGUACGCAAGUAUGAAACUUAAAGGAAUUGGCGGGGGAGCACCACAAGGGGUGAAGCCUGCGGUUC
rnacentral:rRNA from 2 species